UCCAGCAGCUGUUUAUCAACAGCUCUCUCUCUCUCUCUCUCUGUCAGCUUUUCCUUGCCUAUUUUUCUGAACUGUUAUUCAUAAUUAAUUUACACAUUUUUGCUCUCUUUCUUUCUUUCUUUCUUUCUUUCUCUUUUUCAUCAUGGCAUAUUUUCAAAGCUCAGAAUCGAAUUUUGAUCGGUUAUGUCAAAAAGCUGCUAAUAUUAACAGCUAAAAAGGAAGACCAAAGGAAGGCCUGUCGAACUCUUGUCUUGUCUUGUUUGUAGAGAGGGAUGAAUUUGGCCAUCUUGUGUGUUUAUGGAGAAGACCAAAAGCUGCAAAGGCAAACAUUUCCAAUGGAUUUCUCACAUACUACUCCAUCAGUUCUCCACAAUAUCAGCCCUUUCAAAAGCUUCCACAUCUCUGUCUUUCUCUCUGCUCUGACAUCUGCUCUCAGUCCUUUACUACCAACUUCCAGUCUUAGCAUGUCUACGUGUAUAAAUUUUUCCUCUACAGUCAACACUCCCAUCUCUACUGUGAGCACUUCUGUCGCUAUCACUAUGAGUUUUAUAAUUAUAAAAUUAUAAUUAUCAACCAUUUUAAUUUAUCUUGCGUAUAGUCACAAUAGAAGGAAACAAUGAUUACAAGAGAUAUAUUUUUAGCCUAUUUGUUCAUUAAAGGGAAGAAAAUAAUGUCUUUUCAAUUGGAGGCUCAAAACUUCCAGUUUGUAAAAUAUUAUUUGGCAUCUUAUAACGUUUUUCUGUAAAAAAACUCUAUUUUUCUUUUUGAAUAUUAGACAGUUUUUUUUAAAGGGGUCUUCUAUUGCAUACUUUUUAGUUAGAUGUUUGUUUUCAUGUACCCAUUAAUUACUUUAUUAAUCAGUCAUUGAUUUAAGUCUUUGCAGAUACAUUUUCAUAAUCAACUACUUUUUUUUGUUUUCAUUUUUUUUUUCAU